rnacentral:rRNA from 1 species
AUUGAACGCUGGCGGCAGGCCUAACACAUGCAAGUCGAGCGGAGCGGCGGACGGGUGAGUAAUGCCUAGGAAUCUGCCUGGGAGUGGGGGAUAACGUCCGGAAACGGGCGCUAAUACCGCAUACUAUCAGAUGAGCCUAGGUCGGAUUAGCUAGUUGGUGAGGUAAAGGCCUACCAAGGCGACGAUCCGUAACUGGUCUGAGAGGAUGAUCAGUCACACAGGAACUGUGACACGGUCGAGACUCAUACGAGAUGAAGUAGUGGGGAAUAUUGGACAAUAGGCGCAAGCCUGAGCCAGCCAUGCAGCGUGUGUGAAGAAGGUCUUCGGAUUGUAAAGCACUUUAAGUUGGGAGGCGUUACCAACAGAAUAAGCACCGGCUAACUUCGUGCCAGCAGCCGAGGAAAUAC